rnacentral:tRNA from 1 species
GCGGAAGUGGUGGAAUGGCAGACGCGCAGGCUUCAGGUGCCUGUGGUAGCAAUACCGUGAGGGUUCAAGUCCCUUCUUCCGCA